rnacentral:tRNA from 1 species
GGAUCCAUAGCUCAGCUGGCUAGAGCGCUACAUUGACAUUGUAGAGGUCAGAGGUUCAAGUCCUCUUGGAUCCACAA